CUGGUUGAUCCUGCCAGUAGUCAUAUGCGUGUCUCAAAGAUUAAGCCAUGCAUGUCUAAGUUCAAGCGAAAAUAAAGUGAAACCGCGAAUGGCUCAUUACAUCAGUUAUGGUUCCUUAGAUCGCACUUACUACUUGGAUAACUGUGGUAAUUCUAGAGCUAAUACAUGCACUGAGCUCCAACCCUCGUGGAAGGAGCGCUUUUAUUAGAUCAAAGCCAAUCGGGCCUUCGGGUCCGUACCGUUGGUGACUCUGAAUAACUUUGCUGAUCGCAUGGUCUCGUACCGGCGACGUAUCUUUCAAGUGUCUGCCUUAUCAACUGUCGAUGGUAGGUUAUGCGCCUACCAUGGUUGUAACGGGUAACGGGGAAUCAGGGUUCGAUUCCGGAGAGGGAGCCUGAGAAACGGCUACCACAUCCAAGGAAGGCAGCAGGCGCGCAAAUUACCCACUCCCGGCACGGGGAGGUAGUGACGAAAAAUAACGAUACGGAACUCACAUGAGGCUCCGUAAUCGGAAUGAGUACACUUUAAAUCCUUUAACGAGGAUCUAUUGGAGGGCAAGUCUGGUGCCAGCAGCCGCGGUAAUUCCAGCUCCAAUAGCGUAUAUUAAAGUUGUUGCGGUUAAAAAGCUCGUAGUUGGAUCUCGGUUUCGGGCGGGUGGUGCGCCUUGCGGUGUUUACUGUCUGCCCGGACGAUUUUGUUGGUUCGUUCGUGGUUCUCUUAACCGAGUGCCACGGGUGGCCAGCACGUUUACUUUGAAAAAAUUGGAGUGCUCAAAGCAGGCGCUACAGCCUGAACAUUAGUGCGUGGAAUAAUGGAAUAGGACCUCGGUUCUAUUUCGUUGGCUUUCGGAGUCGAGGUAAUGAUUAAUAGGAACAGACGGGGGCAUUCGUACUGCGACGUUAGAGGUGAAAUUCUUGGAUCGUCGCAAGACGAACUACUGCGAAAGCAUUUGCCAAGAAUGUUUUCAUUAAUCAAGAACGAAAGUUAGAGGUUCGAAGGCGAUCAGAUACCGCCCUAGUUCUAACCAUAAACGAUGCCGACCGGCGAUCCGCCGUCGUUAAUUGAAUGACUCGGCGGGCAGCCUCCGGGAAACCAGAGUGUUUGGGUUCCGGGGGAAGUAUGGUUGCAAAGCUGAAACUUAAAGGAAUUGACGGAAGGGCACCACCAGGAGUGGAGCCUGCGGCUUAAUUUGACUCAACACGGGAAAUCUCACCAGGCCCGGACACCGGAAGGAUUGACAGAUUGAGAGCUCUUUCUUGAUUCGGUGGGUGGUGGUGCAUGGCCGUUCUUAGUUGGUGGAGCGAUUUGUCUGGUUAAUUCCGAUAACGAACGAGACUCUGGCCUACUAACUAGAUGUAGGAUCCCUUUGUGGGUCCGUCACUGCUUCUUAGAGGGACGGGCGGCUUUUAGCCGCACGAGAAUGAGCAAUAACAGGUCUGUGAUGCCCUUAGAUGUUCUGGGCUGCACGCGCGCUACACUGAAGGAAUCAGCGUGUGUUCCCUACCCGAAAGGGUUGGGAAACCCGUUGAACCUCCUUCGUGAUGGGGAUUGGGGAUUGCAAUUAUUCCCCAUGAACGAGGAAUUCCCAGUAGGCGCGAGUCAUAAGCUUGCGUCGAUUACGUCCCUGCCCUUUGUACACACCGCCCGUCGCUACUACCGAUCGAGUGAUUUAGUGAGGACUUCGGACUGGUCUUCGUGGUGGCUCUCGAGUCAUGACGGAGUUCCGGAAAGAUGCCCAAACUUGAUCACUUAGAGGAAGUAAAAGU
rnacentral:rRNA from 1 species